rnacentral:rRNA from 1 species
UACGUAGGGUGCAAGCGUUAAUCGGAAUUACUGGGCGUAAAGCGUGCGCAGGCGGUGAUGUAGGACAGAUGUGAAAUCCCCGGGCUCAACCUGGGAACUGCAUUUGUGACUGCAUCGCUGGAGUGCGGCAGAGGGGGAUGGAAUUCCUGGUGUAGCAGUGAAAUGCGUAGAUAUCAGGAGGAACACCGAUGGCGAAGGCAGGUCUCUGGGCUGACACUGACGCUCAUGCACGAAAGACGUGGG